GACGAACGCUGGCGGCGUGCCUAAUACAUGCAAGUUGAGCGCUGAAGGUUGGUCCUUGUACCAACUGGAUGAGCAGCGAACGGGUGAGUAACGCGUGGGGAAUCUGCCUUUGAGCGGGGGACAACAUUUGGAAACGAAUGCUAAUACCGCAUAAAAACUUUAAACACAAGUUUUAAGUUUGAAAGAUGCAAUUGCAUCACUCAAAGAUGAUCCCGCGUUGUAUUAGCUAGUUGGUGAGGUAAAGGCUCACCAAGGCGAUGAUACAUAGCCGACCUGAGAGGGUGAUCGGCCACAUUGGGACUGAGACACGGCCCAAACUCCUACGGGAGGCAGCAGUAGGGAAUCUUCGGCAAUGGACGAAAGUCUGACCGAGCAACGCCGCGUGAGUGAAGAAGGGUUUCGGAUCGUAAAACUCUGUUGGUAGAGAAGAACGUUGGUGAGAGUGGAAAGCUCAUCAAGUGACGGUAACUAUCCAGAAAGGGACGGCUAACUACGUG
rnacentral:rRNA from 1 species